CGUUCCCGGACCUUGUACACACCGCCCCGUCAAGCGAUGGAAGUUGGGAGGACCUGAAGGCAGUAGCUGUGAGGCGCUGUUUAGGGUUAAACCGAUAACUGGCNCU
rnacentral:rRNA from 1 species